rnacentral:rRNA from 1 species
CACCGCGGUUAUACGAGAGGCCUAAGUUGACAGACAGCGGCGUAAAGAGUGGUUAAGGAAAACACAAAACUAAAGCCGAACGCCUUCAGAACUGUCAUACGUUUUCGAAGGUAUGAAGCCCAACCACGAAAGUGGCUUUAUCCCCCCCCCCCUGAACCCACGAAAGCUAAGAAA